rfam:Schistosoma rodhaini strain Burundi genome assembly, scaffold: SROB_scaffold0006764
GCACUGCUGAGGAGUCCCACCAUAGGACAAAACGGCCGUCCAGUGC